GGCGCCGUGGCUUAGUUGGUUAAAGCGCCUGUCUAGUAAACAGGAGAUCCUGGGUUCGAAUCCCCUGGGCGGUGCCU